UACGGAAUGUGCAAACGUUAUUCGGAAUCACUGGGUUUAAAGAGUCCGUAGGCGGCAUGUUAGGUGAGGUGUGAAAUCCCACGGCCCAACCGUGGAAUUGCGCUUCAAACCGGCGUGCUCGAGGAAGAUAGAGGUGGGCGGAACUGAUGGUGGAGCGGUGAAAUGCGUUGAUAUCAUCAGGAACACCGGAGGCGAAGGCGGCCCACUGGGUCUUUUCUGACGCUGAGGGACGAAAGCUAGGGGAGCGAACGGG
rnacentral:rRNA from 1 species